UGCUGCAAUCCAUGUCCCACUGCAAACAGAUUGAGCUAAAUGAUCAUCUGCAGAGUAACAUCAAUCAACACAUUUUUUGCCAGCCAGGAGUUCUGAGACCCCAACCCCUCACUCCUCACCCUUCCAGAGCAGGGGUGUUGGGAGCCCACAACACCAUCAGCCCACCCCAGCAGCAGCUUUGAACUCUCGAGUGCCUGCAAGGCUGUCAGAAGGGAAGGCAAACCAACAGGAUGCAAGAUGAUUAAUACCCAACACAGCCUGGGAAUGUAAUAAACUCUGCCUGGCCCUCUUAA